UUGUGUAAAAGAAUUUUGAAAGACAAGCAAUGUAAUUAUGGGACUCCCCAACAGCCAAGGAAUUAGAGCUAGCUAUCAUUUUCUCGGCAAUCAAGUAUUAGUUGCCUUUCCUUCUAUGAUUACAUUAUUGGUACUAGGGAGAAAGAAAGAAAGAAAAAGAAAAAUCUAGUCAGCUCAGCUAUUCCUUUGAAUGAGUGGUAUUUAAUACUAUCCACUACCUUACUUAAAGGUUGCCUUAGCUUUCCUUGCUACUUCUAGUUAUAAGAAAUAAAACUCUAUCCAACUAUCUAAGAGAGGGGGGCUGUCCUAUAUCUAUUCCAGAGUUGUGAUGCCUAAUCUUGGAGGGUGCAAAGCCGACAAAAUUUACAUCAAGAAAAAGCAGAAAAAGAAAACGAGGACCUGCUAAUUUAGGCACAUUUGUGCGAGUUCAAGUGUCUGAAUCAUGGAGGGAUCCACGUGAAACGACUUUGUUUUUGAAUUCACAAAUCCCCCCCCCCUUUGGGGUUUAGUGGCUAAUUUUCAGUUUCCCUUGAUUUUCAUUAUCUUUGUUUUAUAGUUACGAUUUUAUCCCUGUACUUUAUUACUUUAGACUUCAGUUUUAUCAUUUUUCAUGAAAUAAA